UGUGGCAGGCUUAACUAUGGAUGUGCAAGCCAGACAUUGCCAGAAGAACUACAUCUCUUCACCCAUAGAAAAAUGAAUGAUGUGACCAUUUGGUGCAGGACAACAGCAUUAUGUUCACCAGUCUCUGUACUGUAUGUUACUGCACAGCACAGACUGUAGGAGAAAGCCCAGAGGAGCAAUGAAGACAAAGAACACACGACACCUGCAAAAAGUCAGUGGAGUAUUUCUACAUAACAAACCUUCGAGAAUAAUCGAUGAAAAGAAUAAUGUUGAUGAGACCAAAGACGAGAUGCCCAGCUUCAUAACAGCCCCAGCAGCAUGAGAGUGAGAGGAGCUCCAAGUA